AUCGAACGCUGGCGGCAGGCCUAACACAUGCAAGUCGAGCGCGCGGCGUACGGGUGAGUAAUGUCUGGUAACCUGCCUGAUGGAGGGGGAUAACUACUGGAAACGGUAGCUAAUACCGCAUACCAUCCGAUGUGCCCCGAUGGCAUUAGCUAGUAGUGGGGGUAACGGCUCACCUGGGCGACGAUCCCUAGCUGGUCUGAGAGGAUGACCAGCCACAGUGGAACUGAGACACGGUCAAGACGCCUACGUGAGGCAGCAGGGGGGAAUAGUGCACAAUGGGCGCAAGACUGAUCCAGCCAUGCCGCGUGUGUGAAGAAGGUCUUCGGAGGGUAAAGCACGUUAAGUGGGGAGGCGUUACCAACAGAAUAAGCACCGGCUAACUUCGUGCCAGCAGCCGCGGUAAUAC
rnacentral:rRNA from 1 species